GUCCAUGACUUGUUGGCUUCAAUACACCCAAUCCUAUCAGAUCUUGGAGGCUCAAGCAGAUUUGAGCUCAGGUCAUACUUGGAUGGGAGACUCGAAUAAGAUAUUGGUGUUGUAGCUU
rnacentral:rRNA from 1 species